rnacentral:rRNA from 1 species
UACGUAGGGUGCAAGCGUUGUCCGGAAUUAUUGGGCGUAAAGAGCUCGUAGGCGGUUUGGUGAGUCGGCUGUGAAAUCCCGAGGCUCAACCUCGGGUCUGCAGUCGAUACGAGCAAACUAGAGUGUUGCAGGGGAGACUGGAAUUCCUGGUGUAGCGGUGAAAUGCGCAGAUAUCAGGAGGAACACCGGUGGCGAAGGCGGGUCUCUGGGCAACAACUGACGCUGAGGAGCGAAAGCGUGGGGAGCGAACAGG